AACGAACGCUGGCGGCAUGCCUAACACAUGCAAGUUGAACAAGACCUUCGGGUCUAGUGGCGCACGGGUGCGUAACGCGUGGGAACCUGCCCUUAGGUUCGGAAUAACUCCCCGAAAGGGGUGCUAAUACCGGAUAAUGUCUUCGGACCAAAGAUUUAUCGCCUUUGGAUGGGCCCGCGUUGGAUUAGCUAGUUGGUAGGGUAAAAGCCUACCAAGGCGACGAUCCAUAGCUGGUCUGAGAGGAUGAUCAGCCACACUGGGACUGAGACACGGCCCAGACUCCUACGGGAGGCAGCAGUGGGGAAUAUUGGACAAUGGGCGAAAGCCUGAUCCAGCAAUGCCGCGUGAGUGAUGAAGGCCUUAGGGUUGUAAAGCUCUUUUACCCGGGAUGAUAAUGACAGUACCGGGAGAAUAAGCUCCGGCUAACUCCGUG
rnacentral:rRNA from 1 species